CCUACGGGAGGCAGCAGUAGGGAAUAUUGCUCAAUGGGGGAAACCCUGAAGCAGCAACGCCGCGUGGAGGAUGAAGGUCUUCGGAUUGUAAACUUCUUUUGUUAGAGAAGUUAAUGACGGUAUCUAACGAAUAAGCACCGGCUAACUCCGUGCCAGCAGCCGCGGUAAUACGGAGGGUGCAAGCGUUACUCGGAAUCACUGGGCGUAAAGAGCGCGUAGGCGGGAUAGCAAGUCAGAUGUGAAAUGCUAUGGCUUAACCAUAGAACUGCAUUUGAAACUGAUAUGCUAGAGUAUGGGAGAGGUAGGUGGAAGUCUUGGUGUAGGGGUAAAAUCCGUAGAGAUCAAGAGGAAUACUCAUUGCGAAGGC
rnacentral:rRNA from 1 species